rnacentral:rRNA from 1 species
GUCCACUAUGCAACGGCUAACCUUCCUCCACCGCGAAACGCCCACCGCCGCGCCGCACUCCGUCGAUUCCCCAACCCCGAUCGACAAGGACGCGCCGCCGGGAAGAAUCCGACCAUGAGCGCCGCCGCGGCCAACGUCGCCGUCAUCGGAGCCGGAAUGACGGGCGCCGUGUGCGCGUCGCUCCUAGCCGCGCGUGGGGUGGCGGUGACGCUCUUCGACUCCGGCCGCGGCCCCGGCGGCCGCAUGGCGCAGCGGAGGGAGGUGAUGGACGACGGCACGGAGCUGCGGUUCGACCACGGCGCGCCCUACUUCACCGUCAGCAACGACGAGGUCGCCCGGGUCGUGGGCGGGUGGGAGGCGCGGGGGCUCGUCGCCGAGUGGAAGGCCAUGUUCGCCUGCUUCGAUCGGGAGACCGGCAAAUUCAGAGACUUCGAUAAGGAGGGAACCAUGAAGAAGUAUGUUGGAGUUCCAGGCAUGAACUCAAUAUGCAAAUCCCUGUGUCAAGAGGAUGGUUUGGUGACCAAAUUUGGUGUCACUAUUGGAAAGAUGGAUUGGCUUCAAGAUAGGAGCUCAUGGUCUUUGGCUAGCUUGGAUGGCAAAGAUCUUGGCAGUUUUGAUUUUGUUGUGGCAACAGAUAAGAACAUAGCCUCACAAAAAGUUUCUGGGUUGACUGGAAAGCCACCGCCUCUUGAUUUGUCAGUAUUUCCACACUUGUCAGCAAUGAUUCAAGAUAUCCCAGUUCGCCCCUGUUUUGCUCUGAUGUUAGCGUUCUCAGAGCCUCUUGCGAUGGUACCUGUCCAAGGGUUCUCUUUCUACAAUUCUGAUUCUCUAAGCUGGGCCUUUUGUGAUAGUAGUAAGCCAGGACGUCAUGUACCUCCUAAUAGCCAAUCGUGGGUGUUGCGUUCAACCACCGAGUAUGCUUCUAAGGUAAUAGACAGUAUGGGUCCCCGGAAACCUUCAGCAGAUGCCCUUGCUAAGGUUGCAGAGGAACUGUUCAGAGAAUUUCAGGCUACAGGACUGAACAUUCCACAGCCAAUCUUUAUGAAAGCUCAUAGAUGGGGUGGUGCUUUCCCAGCAAUUUCUAUUGGCGGUGAUGAUAAGUGUGUCUGGGAGAAGAACAUGAAAUUGGCUAUCUGUGGAGAUUUCUGCGCUAGUCCAAGUGUCGAAGGGGCUGUCCUUAGUGGCAUGAGAGGAGCUUCCAAAAUCCUUGGAUGUUUAAACUUACCAUCAGGGUUGUGACUUGUGAGUUUUGACUGACAUCAAUUCUUCUUGAUUCCUCUCUGGUUUGUAUCUAUGUGUGCAUUUGUCGUUUAAAGAGAUGCACUUUUUUUGUACAGAAAUAAUUGGCAUGGUCCUAUAGGGAGGAUAUUGUUUGUUGAAUAUUACGUUAAAUAAGAAAUAAGUGCUGAUUUGGUGGCAAGAAUUCCAGGUGUAUCAUUUGAAGAUGUUUCUAUUGUUUUGCAUUUUUUAUCUGCUGCUUCACAGCUGGUCCUACAAGCCUCCGUUGCUCUGACACUAACAUGCAGUUUUGGUUUCCAGAAAUAGUGAGCACAUAUGAACUCAUGAAAGGCGAUCUAGAGAUAGGCAGAGCACUGACCGGACUAAUUCUCCAGUGACCUAUCCUGGAGUGUCACCAAACCAUUUUUAGAACAAUGUUCCUGGAUGUGGAUGCUGAAAAUCUCUUUGGAAUAUAGAGCCGGAAAUCUGGAAUUUAGGGUGUUAUAGAACAUGCGUGUGAUGCAAGUGAUCUAGGAGAAUAGCCUUUUGGUACAUGCUUGCUGAACCUGCAAGUUUGCCAGAUGAUGGACAAGUAUAACUGAUGGCUUUAUGAGGUCUGUUGGUCUCAAAUCUCAGACCGGCAUAUAUUUUAUGCAUCACAAUAGCCUUUGUCUGAUAAUACAUCCAUAUUUUAUUCUUAAGUACAUGGAAAUGUUUUUAAACCCUUUUCUUUUAUAUUGGAGUGUACUUCAUGAGAGAUUCACAGGGCUAGUUAAAGUAAAGGCAAGGUGAACUCAUUUACAUUCAGAAGAGAUAAGCUUCAGAAUUUGUUUGAUUC